AAUGAAAAGUUACAGGGGUCUCCACUAACAUUUGGGGCCUGAAAGUUUGCAGGGAUUAGCCCAGAGUGACUGUCCACUAAUAUGUGGGACCCCCAAAGUUACAGGAAUAACUGCAGUGUGGCCAUCCACUAAUGUGGUGCCAAAAAGUUCCAGUGAAAGUGAUGUAAAAGGGAAAGUCGAUCAGUCGUGUCUGACUCUUUGCAACCACAUGGACUCACCAGAAUACUGGAAUUUGAGACUCUCGUGUUCUGAGCAGCCUUAUCAGAAUGUCUUGUGAAGUCCUGGUGGGCCAACUACACAGCACCUGCCCAGCUGCUCUCUUGCUCUUUGUGACUCAUGGCAGAAUGGAGCCAGCGCAUACAUGGAUUGAUUUGCAUUUCUGCGCAGCCGUCCUUUACCCACUCUUACUGCUUGAUUGCCACAAUAAAGCAUAAUCAC